CUUGAAAUAUAUUCAGAUUUUCCUUUAUCACAAGCCGUAGAUCCUUUCUUCCAGUUCCAGUUCAAGAAUUUCAUACCCUUUUCUUCCCUAAUUUCAUCUUUAAUUGUUUCAGGAAGAUCUUCAUCUCUGGAUUGGCUAAAGGACAUGAAGCGUGUUGCAAAGAUAAUGACAUUGUUAGUGGCAAUAUCUGCCUUCUGGAUUGGCCUCUUGUUGCAAACAUCUAUGGUUCCACGCAGCUAUACUUGGUUGCUACCUUUGUACUUCGUCCUGUCGCUAGGAUGUUACGGCCUAUUAAUGGUUGGAGUUGGGCUGAUGCAGUUUCGAACUUGCCCGCAAGAAGCUGUUCUGUUGCAGCAGGACAUUGUAGAGGCCAAGGGAUUCCUGGAGCAAAGAGGAGUUCAUAUCAGCUCUUAUUGAUCCAAUCAGCAAAGUACCUUGCCAGGAAAGGGCCAACUACGCAAAGAGAUAUUUUAAGGCCACCUGUAUAAUUUGGCUUAUGAGGAAAUAAGAAGUUUAGCUGUUGCGUUUAACAUCAAAGGUAAGUCAUGAGUGAUCGAAGCUAUAGAAGACAAGGGUUCAUUAUAAACCACUUUUUUUUUUCAUUGGUUUAAAAUAACUUCAUCUAACUGGGAUAAGACUUGUAAGACUAUUGCUGAUAUUUUCCCGUAACCAGCUUAUUCGAUAAAUGGUGUUAGACAGUUAGAGUGGGUAUUGGAUCUCAUUUUGAUAGCUAAAUUUUCUCUCUCUCUGUUAAAGCUAAAAUAAUGCUGAGAGGUUAUCUGUCAUUUAGAAUUCUAUGCUCUGACUUUCUUUAGCCAGUGAGUUGUUGCAUGCCUUGAUUGCCACAGAUGGCUGAACUGACUAGUUCCUUUGACUGUGAUUGGGAAAUGGCUGCCACCCAAAGACUUUGAUGUAUGUUGUACAAUCUAAAGGAAAUGAUGUUAAGGUAAAAUGAUUUUUGCCAUUUUCCACGACCCAAAAUUUUGCUAUUUUAGAAAAUAAAGGUAUUUCCAUUGGGAUGUGAACACCUCAUUCAUCAUCAGAACCUGUUAAUAUAGGAUUUGGGGCUUAAGGCUUUGGAUUAUUCCUUCCUCUCUUAUCAUACUGCAAUAUUUUUAGAGGGUUACUCUUAGGCAUUUGGUCAAUGCGACAGUUGUUUUGCUGUUUUAUGGGCGUGAACUUAUAUUAUUCUGCUUGUUCACCUGUCUGAAUUGGAUAAUGUUUGGUCUAAAAGAUAGUGGAUGCUUCUUCGUUAUCCAAUAAAUGAAGAUUUUAUUAGUUCUUGCGCAUGCUUUAUAAGUUCGCUGCUAGUAAGGUUUAUUUUGUGGGACAUUGUUGAGGCCAAGUAAUUCUUGGACCAAAGAAGGGUUGAUGUGGGUUCUGAUGGAACUGAUCAUCAGGAUCCCUUUGUGAAUGCCAGGAAAGGGUCCAACUUCGCAAGAAAAUCUUUUAAAAGUCACCUGUUUGGUAUCGGUGUUUCGGGUUGACAGUUAUCAGGAAGCAUCUCAAUUAGGCAAAAUAUUUUCCAGAAUUUUGGUGUAUUGAGAUGAAUAUGCCCUUGUCUUCUUAUGAUCUAUCUGUGCUCGGGAGAGUGCUAGCUCUUCAGCUAGAAAGGCUAACACAAUUUUAGCAGUAAAGUUUGUUUUCUUUGUCUGGAUUUCACUUUUGUUGCAGAGAAUUAAAAAAGAAGAAGGUAAACACAAACAUUUCUGGGAUACGUUUUAUUGCAUAGUAGAUAGUAGUUAGACCCAAGGUUGACAGAGUUCAUAAAGGGAGCAAACCUGCUGCAACCCCUAUAGAGGGUCACAAGCCGGCAUGAACGUUAUUUAUGUAUAUAAGCACCCUAACCAAACACCCAUAGGGUUCCAUGAUCACUAGUCAUGGUCUCAUGGAUAUCCAUGGCCAGCCAUACCACCAAUCUUGGGAACUUCCAUGUUUGUGGUUUCUCCUUUACCCUUAUCUUCAGGUCUGAUUUCAGUUUUGCUGCUACCCGGCCACCACCAGGGGAAGUGUGGAAACCAGAGAGCUUGGGGGUUGUAGACCUCCUCUCCUUCGGUUGAUACCAUACCAUCGACUUCAGGAAGAUAUCCGUGGCCAGCCGUAGCAUCAACCUGGGGAACUUCUAUGUUUCUGGCAUCUCCUUUAGCUUUAUCUUUAGGCCCACUUUCAGCUUUGUUGAUACUUGCCCACCACCAGGGGAUGUGUGGAAACCAGAAAGCUUGGGGAUUGUAGACCUCCCCUCCUUUGGUGGAGAAAUCUCUUCCUCCUUCUGCACCAGAGAGAAAUGCCACGAGGAAGAUGGAGAGGACAAAUAGUACCGUUUUAGUAACACCCGCCAUUCUUAAACUUCUUUCUCUUGUGUAUCUUUCUUUCUGUCUUUUGCGAU